UACGGGGGGGGCAAGCGUUGUUCGGAAUUACUGGGCGUAAAGGGCUCGUAGGCGGCCAACUAAGUCGGAUGUGAAAUCCCCAGGCUUAACUUGGGAACUGCAUCCGAUACUGGAUGGCUUGAAUCCGGGAGAGGGAUGCGGAAUUCCAGGUGUAGCGGUGAAAUGCGUAGAUAUCAGGAAGAACACCGGUGGCGAAGGCGGCUUGCUGGGCCAUCACUGACGCUGAGACACGAAAGCGUGGGGAGCAAACGGG
rnacentral:rRNA from 1 species